UUCUUAUCCUGAGAGGUGGAGGGACUGGCCCUUUGAAGCCUCGGCAACGGGUCUUAUCUAAAGAUACUGUGCCAACUCCAGCAAGGGAAUUACUUGGAAGAUAAGAA
rnacentral:ncRNA from 2 species